CGGACGGGUGAGUAAUGUCUGGAAAACUGCCUGAUGGAGGGGGAUAACUACUGGAAACGGUAGCUAAUACCGCAUAACGUCGCAAGACCAAAGAGGGGGACCUUCGGGCCUCUUGCCAUCGGAUGUGCCCAGAUGGGAUUAGCUAGUAGGUGGGGUAACGGCUCACCUAGGCGACGAUCCCUAGCUGGUCUGAGAGGAUGACCAGCCACACUGGAACUGAGACACGGUCCAG
rnacentral:rRNA from 1 species